rfam:Gossypium arboreum cultivar AKA8401 contig_751_1, whole genome shotgun sequence.
UAACCAUGGUGAGGGCACUUUCUCAAGAGGUCUUUGUAUCUCUCCCAUGCAUCGUAGAGUGUUUCUAAAUCCAUCUGCAGAAAGGAAGAGAUAUCAUUAUGUAAUUUA